GGGGCGCGGCUGCGGCGGAGGCGGCGGCGGCGGCAGCGCAGCCGCGCGGAGCGGAGCCGGGAUGGGCCGGGAUGGGCCGGGAUGCAGGUAAAAGAUGAAGCCUCGAUCACGCUUCACAGCAAACUUCAUGUAACCUCUGAGGGGAACUGAAGCAGAAAGCAAAGCCAAGGCAACGCAGCAUCUGACCUUGUCACUGGGUGGCAGAAAACAGCCACUGGUUCCACUGGUGCUUCAAUCAAGCUCCCUUGUGCAAUGUGGAAUCGUAGAGAGCUCACAAAGUACAAGUUCCUUCCAGGUCCGUGGGGUGAAUAAAAAUUGUUAACUCUUG